rnacentral:tRNA from 1 species
GAGGGUAUAGCUCAGUGGUAGAGCUCAUGCUUAACAUGCACAUGGUCCUGGGUUCAAUUCUCAGUGCCUCCA